rnacentral:piRNA from 1 species
UUAUCUCACGCAUGACUUGAACUCCAUU